GAGCUGGAACCUGCUGCAAGCGUUUGACGGCAUUCACGCACUUUUGAAACUUUCUAUGAACGGAUUUGGAUCUAAUGUCCCUGAAAACAAAGAAAGGUUGGGAAUGUGACUAGUCAGUAAUGCCUGUGAGAACCAACUGGAAGAGAAGAAAUUAUUUAUUCUUUACCAUCAAUAUGUGACUGUGUCUUGAAAUGAAUAUCCUGGAAUCUGAUUCAGACUUGAUUUUGGAAACCCCUGCGCCCCCCCCCCCC